UGUGGUACAAUGUAACCGUUGCUUAGCAACCCUUGGUGCUUAGUUCCCUUUCACCAAGCAUAUUAGACACGUAAAGAGUUAGGUUUGACUAACUGCUUUGACGUUAAAGGAGAAAAAAUG
rfam:Streptococcus dysgalactiae subsp. equisimilis RE378 DNA, complete genome.